UACGUAGGGGGCUAGCGUUGUCCGGAAUCAUUGGGCGUAAAGCGCGUGUAGGCGGUCCGGUAAGUCCGCUGUGAAAGUCGGGGGCUCAACCCUCGGAUGCCGGUGGAUACUGUCGGGCUUGAGUACGGAAGAGGCGAGUGGAAUUCCUGGUGUAGCGGUGAAAUGCGCAGAUAUCAGGAGGAACACCGGUGGCGAAAGCGACUCUCUGGACGGUAACUGACGCUGAGGCACGAAAGCGUGGGGAGCAAACAGG
rnacentral:rRNA from 1 species